rnacentral:rRNA from 1 species
AGUGAACGCUGGCGGUAGGCCUAACACAUGCAAGUUGAACGGCAGCACAGUAAGAGCUUGCUCUUACGGGUGGCGAGUGGCGGACGGGUGAGGAAUACAUCGGAAUCUACUUUUUCGUGGGGGAUAACGUAGGGAAACUUACGCUAAUACCGCAUACGACCUACGGGUGAAAGCAGGGGAUCUUCGGACCUUGCGCGAAUGAAUGAGCCGAUGUCGGAUUAGCUAGUUGGCGGGGUAAAGGCCCACCAAGGCGACGAUCCGUAGCUGGUCUGAGAGGAUGAUCAGCCACACUGGAACUGAGACACGGUCCAGACUCCUACGGGAGGCAGCAGUGGGGAAUAUUGGGCAAUGGGCGCAAGCCUGAUCCAGCCAUACCGCGUGGGUGAAGAAGGCCUUCGGGUUGUAAAGCCCUUUUGUUGGGAAAGAAAAGCAGCAGGUUAAUACCCCGCUGUUCUGACGGUACCCAAAGAAUAAGCACCGGCUAACUUCGUG